UCUUCCUCUGCACAGGUUUUGAUAAAUCUCCCCCAAUGAGUAGAGCGUAAGCUAGAGGUGAACCAGCUCAAAAACGGAGGCCAGCGCCAUAGACGUUCCAGUCCAAACAAGGGCCCAGAAGUCGAGCAACAACAAGUCUGUCCAAAGCAAGCUGAGCUCCAAAAAAUGAACAAACCCAUAACGUGUAAUCACCGGACACGGGACAGGGGCUGACCUACAGAGGAGAACCAUAGAGGAAAAUUUCUACCCACAUAUCUGUUGUUUAAGAACAUUACCCUUCCGAGGUUGCCGACUCGUGGGCUUUCCUCC